AUACAAAUUUGUGAUGCUUUAGGGGGCCUAUUGUUCGGCGGUUUAUAGGAGCCAGGUUUGUCUUUUGACGAACCUUUAACCUAUUUUUACUUCCAAAACCGUUACAAUGGCUUUCUUUUAUUAAAAUUUUUCUUUUCUUUUCUUUGGCUUAGUUUAUUUUUAAUAAGUUAUUUCAGGUGAAGAUAGAAGAAGGAUAAAGAGUAUCGUAGAUAAAUCUUCGGUUCCGAAUAGUCUAACUAUUGGUAUUGAGGUAAUCCAUCUUUAAAACCAUCGCCGUUAGAGGUUGCUUCUGAUGUUUUCGGUUAAGCGACCCAUGAAAUGGUGAUGACCUGAGGUAUGGAACAUCU
rnacentral:snoRNA from 1 species